GCGAGCAUGUGCGAGAGUCGGACGUGUCUUGGGCGAGAACGAAUUGUGAGAGCGAAACAAGCGUAAGCGUGCGAGGAGAGAUCUCGACCGAGAGUGAGGAGUGCGAGAGAGGUUGCGACAGGACCCCGGGAGGACGAGAUCGAGCGAGAAGAAGCUGCCGAACCUUCGGACCUCCGAGAGGAGAGCAUCGUUACCGAACACGAAAACAUCAGCAUAGAAGAUAUCAUAAAUUUUAAGUGCACGUGUAAGAGAUUCUGACCGAUAACACUGCUCUGCAAAUUUUGGGAAAAGAAAUAUUAUCAGAGCUACCCUACUGCAGAAAAAAAGUAUAACAAAGAAAAACAGAAUAAAGUAUUUCGUCAUAUCUAUUUAAAAAAAAAAAAACAGGAUUAUAUUAUAUCCACGAGUUACAAUAUUAUGCAUACGUGACGGCAGAAUAUAAAUUAAGUUUUACUAACGUAAAACAUUUUAUACUUCUACUGCGCUUAAUUGCAGAAGAUUCUAUAACGUAUUAUUUUGUGUGCGAUGAGAUAAAUAAAAAUUAUGCACAAAAAUCAAGCAAACUGUUUUUUAAUUUGACACAUGAAUAUUACUUUAAAAGAAUUUUUAACUGUAUAAAGCAUUAUCGAUUUAUAUAUAAACAAAUAAAAUUUAUGAAUAUGCCGAAGACGAAGAUUCUUUUGGAAAAACAAUUGACGAUCGUAACGCAAUAUUUUGCGCCAUGUUUCUUAUUCGGACGUAAAAACGUGGUGAAAUGAAAUAACGCAAACAGUACUAUGUUGUCUGAAAAUUAAAUAUCCGUCUCAUUCAAUUUGCUCUACGGUUUUAGAGCAAUUUUCUUUUUGGAGAGACAACAAUAUUGAUGAUAAUUUCUGGGAUGAAACAGAAUCAAAGCAAAUUAUGGGCAUUCUCGAAGAAUAUAUAUUUUCGGAGUUAGAAAUCCAUAAAUUGCAUCAAUUAUUAAAGACAACAGAUCUCGAAGCAAAAUAUAUAAAAUAUUUUGCAGGAAGUUUUCGAAGACAUUUAUUGAUUUUCACUUAUAACAUCAUAGCAAGAAGAUUCGGCGUACAUUGCUGUGUAACAACGUAUAAAAAUGAUAUUGGAAUCAUAUGGAAACCAAAAUAGGAAAAAUUUUAUAUUCGUAAUACAGAAUUCUUUUAUCUAAGUCUGAACCCUCAUCUAUCUUACCCAUCGAACGUUAUCAGGGAAUUAUAUCCAAAUAAUGUAUUCUCUUCUGCGACUGUCCAUUUAUUUAGUCAUAUUUCGGUUGGUAACACGUUUUAUAAUAAAAAAUUACCACUUCUAUCUAAAAUAUCAUCAAAAAUAUUGCAGGGAUUUCAAUAUUAUUUUCAUUUUACUAUACCGAUAUUUUGCAGUAGACAAGCCCAUAAAUAUAUACGAAAUAU